AUUUCGGAUCACCAAGUAAAAGCAUUUCAGAGAAUAAAACUGUGUUUGUCAGAGUUCGUUGAGAGAGAGACGAAGUUCAGGAGAAGACCUCAAAGAGAGCAGAUUGGGUAUCCGGAGUUUGUUACAAUGAUAUUGGACAUGUCAACUCCAUAUUCGAAUUCGGGGACGAAUUCCUUGUAAGUGGGGGAGAAUUGUAACGACCCGAAUUCUGGUUUCGAAAAUUUUUAGCCGGCUAAAGCCCAAGCAUUACAAGAUGGCCAUAUUUUUGCCCAUAAAUAAUCAACUCCAGCUUUGGUUUCUCCUCCUGCAAAGAAAAAGAUAGAAGUUAGAGAGAAAGAGCUAGAGAGAAGUGAGAGAAGAGAAAGUGUGAACCUUUGGAGAAGCUGAGCCACCAGAGCUCGCCGGAGCCACCACACGCCAAGACCAAGCCAAGCUCAUCACCACCGUUCGUUGUAGUCGGUAAGCGUCGGAAACCGCCAUGCAUUUGAGUUUAGUUUCGUGCGUUUAGUAAAUCGUCUAUAACUUUCUAACCGUUGCGAAUCUCGUGCAUGCAAACCCACCAUCGUGUUCCUCUCGUCGAGACGAAUCCAUAGCCACCAGAAUCGUCGCAAUCGGAGCUCGGACGAAGCCGUACGAGCCCUCCAAAGUUUCGCCGGAAAUCGCAUCCGCCACCGCCGGACCACCGUUAUCCGCCGCCGGACCACCGCUUCUCCGACGCCGGUCCGCCGCUUAUCCGCCGCCGGACUGUCAUCGCCGCCGAUUUGAAGUCUAUUUUAUCAGUUGGAGUUCAUAGAUACCACUUCUCUUCAUUUGCUAAGGUGAGACCGAUGAGCAGGAGUGAUCAUAUCGGACUAGUGCUACUAUUUGGGCUCGUGGGCUUUAUCGUUUAUCGUUUUAUCUUUUAUCGUUAUUGGGCCUUCAGGCCUUUGGACUUCUAUCGUUUAUGUUAUUUCUUAUUUCAGCCUUCGGGCUUAUAUUGUUAUUUAUAUUUCAGAUGUUUAUUUUCGGAUUUGA